rnacentral:rRNA from 1 species
UACGUAUGGAGCAAGCGUUAUCCGGAUUUACUGGGUGUAAAGGGAGCGUAGGCGGUCCUGCAAGUCUGAUGUGAAAGGCCGGGGCUCAACCCCGGGACUGCAUUGGAAACUGUAGGACUAGAGUGUUGGAGGGGUAAGUGGAAUUCCUAGUGUAGCGGUGAAAUGCGUAGAUAUUAGGAGGAACACCAGUGGCGAAGGCGGCUUACUGGACGACUACUGACGCUGAGGCUCGAAAGCGUGGGGAGCAAACAGG